CAAACACAAACAGGACUCUAACAAACACACACACAGCACACUACCAGUACCCUCACAUACAAACAGCACCCUCACACACAGUACAUUAACAGCACCCUCACAAGCGCACACACACACACAAACAGCACCCUCACACACAGUACAUUAACAGCAUCCUCACAAGCACGCACACACAAACACCCUCACCCACAUAGCACACUACCA
rnacentral:lncRNA from 1 species